rnacentral:rRNA from 1 species
UACGUAGGGGGCAAGCGUUGUCCGGAUUUAUUGGGCGUAAAGAGCUCGUAGGCGGUUUGGCAAGUCGGGUGUGAAACCUCCAGGCUCAACCUGGAGUCGCCACCCGAUACUGCUAUGACUUGAGUCUGGUAGGGGAUCACGGAAUUCCUGGUGUAGCGGUGAAAUGCACAGAUAUCAGGAGGAACACCGGUGGCGAAGGCGGUGAUCUGGGCCAGUACUGACGCUCAAGAGCGAAAGCGUGGGUAGCGAACAGG